CUGAAAGAUCAUAUCUCAUCAAGUACCGCCCACAAUUCCAAAACCAGAAAUUACUUGCAGGGGUCCACUUCCUACAAACACCUUCAUCUUCAUGUCUCCAGGAAAGAACCUGGCUUUCAGUAACUAUUACACAAACUUCAACUACACAAAAAAAUUAGUCAGUUUGAAAAGAGCGGAAGAAUGGCAAGUUUUAUCUUCGGUGACCAGCUGGUGGGUGCUAACGCAGAAAGGCAGUGAACGGAGUUUGCAGAGAGAUUCUACUGCCAGCCAGGCCUCCUCUGCCUGACCCAAGGCUGAGCUCACAAUGACAGCAUCAGGUGUGACGGAUGCGGGUGGAGGAGACUCAGAUGAGAAGAUGAGCCCUUUCCAAAUCUCACCAUAAAUCUCCAAACUGCUGAAGUGCUGCCCACUCGUUACCUCGGUUACAGCCCACACACUCUGUCUCCUCACAGUCAUAGAUGCUCCUCAAUAAAACGAAGUUCAUUACUACUAAAGGAAUUUU
rnacentral:lncRNA from 1 species